UCUGGGACCUUGCUGGGGACAGACAGCCCUCCCUGCCCAGCAAUGGGCCUUUGGGAUGUGGCACAAGCUCCCGGGAAACCUGGAGUGACAAGGGCACCUGUCCCGGGGGAGCGGAGAGCACGGAGUUGGUGCUUUGGGACAUCAGCACCUGGUGCCGAGUCAGUCCUGAUGUGGCAGAGGAGCGGCAGGCCCCUGCAUAACCGGGGCUCUUCAGUGUCUCCAGGUCCUUGGUGAAGUGGAACUGGACCAGGCGCGAGUUCCGAAACAGCGGCACCAAGGUGGUCUGCGGGGAAGCGAGGGGACCCCCGGUUCUGACUUCUCAAACCACGGCCUCCUGCUCCCAGCCUGCUGAGUCCCCCAGGCCCAGGACCAAACUGAGGCUCCCCUGUCCUCCUUACCUCAGGAAACUGUCAUCUCCACCCGUCAACCAGCCUAAUCCUGGAGUGCUGUGGAAGCCGCUCUCAGACCCCUUGGCAGCUCCCCAGGUCCAGAUCGAGGCUGCCCCUGCCCCGCUCAGUCCCUGCACAGCCACCGGCUGGGUGCCUGGGACCCCUUGGAACCAGGCCUGAGGACCUACCCACUGCCCCUGCUUCAGCACCCUCAGCUCCACUCCCUCACGGCCAGCUCAGGCCACCCAGGGAGGCGCUCUUGCCCCCAGUCCCGCCCUCUAGAAUGGCUACUGCUUGCAGGCUUGACAGCCCGGCCCCAGCCCCUCACCAGCAGCUGCUGCGGGAUGAGCUGCAUGUACAGCUUCCUUGGCCACUGCUCGGUCCUCCUGUGGGGCACGAGGGGACGAGGGUCAGGAGGCCCCAGCUCCCCUAGACGCUGCCACCGCCCCCAGCCCGGCACUCACAGGAUCUCCCCCUGGUUCACGUAGACGUGGGACGGCAGCCACCUCUUGGACCGACUGUUGGGCUCAGGCCUGGGCUUUUGGGGGAGAGGUAAAGAGGAGCCCUCAGGGCUGGAGACCCCCAACCCCAGUGUCCCCUCCCAGCCACAGUCCGUGAGGAUCUGGGGGUCCCAGGUCCCCGGGCUGCCGAGGGCUCACCUCCUGCCACUCCAUGACGCCGCUCCAUGCCAGAAACUUGUUGUUGACGAUCUGGACUGGGCCUGAGUUGACACCACCAGGUCCCACUGCCUGUUGGAAGGGAAGGGGGUGGGAAGAAGGGGCCCUGGGUCCUGGGAAACCUGUCUGUCCUGGGGUCUGCCGUCCCUCCCUCCGAGUCUUGGCCUGUCGACCCCAGCUGGGUCCAUUCUCUAGCCCCAGGGGAACAGGCCCUGCCCCCUCACCUGCUCACAGCCCCCCACAGCUCCCCAGUGGCCUGAGACAGGUCCUGGCCCUCACCUGGUGCACAGGACCUGCAGAGUCUGCCUCAACUGGCAAGGCAUGACCAGGACACGUGGUCACCGGGCAGGGCCUUCCAGCCUCACGAUGAUCCCAACCCCUGCCCAGCUCCCCACUCCGCUGGCUUCCCCACCGCUGCGCCAAGACCCACCCUCCGGCCCUUCAGAGCCACCUGGUGGCCGCUUUUCCGUGGAGCCCUGAUGGGAACCCGCCCGGCCUCCUCUGGGCUCCCCUGCGGCUCCUUGCUCCAGUCAUCGCAUCACACUCCGCCCACACCAAGUCUGGCUGCCCAUCCAGGGUGGUGGGGCCUAACUCCACUCUGUCCUCAGAGGGGCUGUGCUCGGCGGCACACCUGCUUGCGGGUGGUGAUGACCUGCCGGAUGGCGCUGACGAAGCCGCUCUGGUCGUAGGGGAUGAGGCCCAUGAAGAUCUUCUUCUUGGACGAGUACAGGAGCAUGAGCACGCGCACCUCACAGGGCGAGAUGUGGGGGAACAGCAUGCAACCCGCCUGUGGGGGCCGCGGGUCAGGACCCCGUGGGCACUGCCCAGGGCCGCCAUGCCCCCACCACCCUGGACUGCCCCACCUGUAGGGGACGAAGGGAGGUCAUUGGUGGACAGAGGCCCCCACAGUCAAGGCCACGGCCAUAGGUGAGGGGCCUCUGAGAGCCCGUGCAGCACCCAUUGGCAUCCCCCGACCCUGCCAUGGCUGAGGUUGGAGUGGCGCCCGGCACCCAGGCUGUGGUGAGAACGCCGAGAAGGCAUCACCUCCCGCCCACAUCGUCCCCUGCCACCAACCCUCCUGCCUGCCUGAUGGGGUGACCUGGCCUGGGGGUUAAGAGCACAGGCUUAAGAGGCAGACCCCACCGCUCUGCUGCCUCCUAGCUGUGUGACCUAACACCAGCCACCUCCUGUUUCUGGGCCUCCAUUUCAUCAUCUGUAAAACGGGGUAAUAGUGCACACACUGGGUGCCACAUAAAGGCUCAACAGAUAAAGUACUGGUACCUCUUGGACGGGGCAUGGGAGAACUAA